rnacentral:tRNA from 1 species
GAGAGUGUAGCUCAGUUGGUAGAGCACCUGACUUUUAAUCCGGUGGUCAUGGGUUCAAGUCCCAUCACUCUCA